rnacentral:rRNA from 1 species
UACGUAGGUGGCAAGCGUUGUCCGGAAUUAUUGGGCGUAAAGCGCUCGCAGGUGGUUCGAUGCGUCGUGCGUGAAAGACCCCGGCUCAACUGGGGAGGGUCGUGCGAUACGGUCGAACUGGAGGCCAGUAGGGGGAUGCGGAAUUCCUGGUGUAGCGGUGAAAUGCGCAGAUAUCAGGAGGAACACCGAUGGCGAAGGCAGGUCUCUGGGCCGAUACUGACGCUGAGGAGCGAAAGCGUGGGGAGCGAACAGG